rnacentral:sRNA from 1 species
AGGAGAGGCAGGCAAACAGCUGAGGCGGUAGGCUUAGGGCCAGAGCCAGGGGAGGGCAGGGUGGUAUAUGGCAACUAACCAGUCAUUCUCCCUCUUCCUCUCAGGCGGGCAGGGCUGGGCAGCGGCCUGAGUCUCAGUGGACUUGUCCACCCGGAGUUGAGUCGGAGCGGCGAGCUGGUAAGUGGCCAGGGGUCCGGGAGAGCCUGCAUCAGGGACUGCAGCCGACGGCCCUCUGAGCCCCGCACUGUCCCCAUCUCUUCAGGCAGUACAGGCUCUGGAGCAGUUUGCCACUGUGGUGGAGGCCAAGCUGAUAAAACACAAGAAGGGGAUUGUCAAUGAACAGUUUCUGCUGCAGCGGCUGGCAGACGGGGCCAUCGACCUCUAUGCCAUGGUGGUGGUUCUCUCGAGGGCCUCAAGAUCCCUAAGUGAGGGCCACCCCACGGCCCAGCAUGAGAAAAUGCUCUGUGACACCUGGUGUAUCGAGGUGAGACUCGGGGCUGCCAAGCUCAGGUGAGGGCUAGAGGUACAGGCCCAACCCCUCCUUCCCUCUCCCCAGGCUGCAGCUCGGAUCCGAGAGGGCAUGGCCGCCCUGCAGUCUGACCCCGGGCAGCAAGAGCUCUACCGCAACUUCAAAAGCAUCUCCAAGGCCUUGGUGGAGCGGGGUGGUGUAGUCACCAGCAACCCACUUGGCUUCUGAAUACUCCCGUCCAGGGCCUGGCCCGGUUAUGUGCCUUCCCUCAAGCUAAAGCCGAAGCCCGUUUCCUUAGGGCCCUGGUUUGUCCGGAAGGGGCCUAAUGUUCCCAGCACUGUGCCUGCUCUCAAGAGCACUUACUGCCUCACAAAUAAUAAAAUUUCUAACCAGUCA